rnacentral:rRNA from 1 species
GACGAACGCUGGCGGCGUGCUUAACACAUGCAAGUCGAACGGAAAGGCCCCUUCGGGGGUACUCGAGUGGCGAACGGGUGAGUAACACGUGGGUGAUCUGCCCUGCACUUCGGGAUAAGCCUGGGAAACUGGGUCUAAUACCGGAUAUGACUACGGCCUGCAUGGGUUGUGGUGGAAAGCUUUUGCGGUGUGGGAUGGGCCCGCGGCCUAUCAGCUUGUUGGUGAGGUUACGGCUCACCAAGGCGACGACGGGUAGCCGGCCUGAGAGGGUGUCCGGCCACACUGGGACUGAGAUACGGCCCAGACUCCUACGGGAGGCAGCAGUGGGGAAUAUUGCACAAUGGGCGCAAGCCUGAUGCAGCGACGCCGCGUGAGGGAUGACGGCCUUCGGGUUGUAAACCUCUUUCAGUACAGACGAAGCGCAAGUGACGGUAUGUACAGAAGAAGCACCGGCCAACUACGUG